rnacentral:tRNA from 1 species
CAUUAAAUGGCUGAAAUGUACGCAAUGGAAUUUUAAACCAUAUAAUAAUAGAUUAACGCCUAUUUUUAAUG